GAUGAAGAACGUAGCGAAAUGCGAUAAGUAAUGUGAAUUGCAGAAUUCAGUGAAUCAUCGAAUCUUUGAACGCACAUUGCGCCCGCCAGUACUCUGGCGGGCAUGCCUGUUCGAGCGUCAUUUCAACCAUCAAGCCCCCGGCUUGUGUUGGGGACCUGCGGCUGCCGCAGGCCCUGAAAACCAGUGGCGGGCUCGCUAGUCACUCCGAGCGUAGUAAUACAUCUCGCUCAGGGCGUGCUGCGGGUUCCGGCCGUUAAAAAGCCUUAUUUACCCAAGGUUGACCUCGGAUCAGGUAGGAAGACCCGCUGAACUUAAGCAUAUCAAUAAGCGGAGGA
rnacentral:misc_RNA from 1 species